UACGAGAGUAACUGCUCGUACCUUGACGGUACCUAACCAAAAAGCCACGGCUAACUACGUGCCAGCAGCCGCGGUAAUACGUAUGUGGCAAGCGUUGUCCGGAAUUAUUGGGCGUAAAGCGCGCGCAGGCGGUCCUUUAAGUCUGAUGUGAAAGCCCACGAGAUAGGACCUUCCCCUUCGGGGGACAGAGUGACAGGUGGUGCAUGGUUGUCGUCAGCUCGUGUCGUGAGAUGUUGGGUUAAGUCCCGCAACGAGCGCAACCCUUGUCUUUAGUUGCCAGCAUUCAGUUGGGCACUCUAAGGAGACUGCCGGUGACAAACCGGAGGAAGGUGGGGAUGACGUCAAAUCAUCAUGCCCCUUAUGACCUGGGCUACACACGUGCUACAAUGGAUGGUACAAAGGGUUGCGAGACCGCGAGGUUUAGCCAAUCCCAUAAAACCAUUCUCAGUUCGGAUUGUAGGCUGCAACUCGCCUACAUGAAGCCGGAAUUGCUAGUAAUCGUGGAUCAGCAUGCCACGGUGAAUACGUUCCCGGGUCUUGUACACACCGCCCGUCACACCACGAGAGUUUGUAACACCCGAAGUCGGUGGGGUAACCGCAAGGGGCCAGCCGCCUAAGGUGGGACAGAUGAUUGGGGUGAAGUCGUAACAAGGUAGCCGUAUCGGAAAAUGCGGCUGGAUCACCUCCUUUCU
rnacentral:rRNA from 1 species